GAAAGCAGAUUCUUGUAUCACCAUCUGAUAUCAUCCUUAGUAUGUUCAAGAACAUUUUAACGAAAAGCAGAGAUUUGAGAUGAAAAAUUCCGCUGAGAAAGUUGUUUCAUGUUCUGCGAGUGAUUCACGAACCUACUGCUGCUGUUUUAGCCUACGGUAU